AAGUGUGGACAAUUUUUGGUGCAACAUCUGGUUUGGGUCGUCCGUCUGCCACCUGCGAUCCCGCGAGACCCUCGUGUGAAGGCUCCCCUGGCAAGAAAGGAAACUCCCUUGCGUGAAGGCUCCCAAGCGGCAAGAAAAGAAACUACGCUCCCAAUCAGCUCCUGUAUCGCGCACGCUCGAAAUCACUCCCCAUCGCACGCGGUCUCCACUAGCGCCUAGCCACCGCCGGUAGCUCCUCGCAACCCAGGCUCUAGGCCUUCACCGUAGCAUCCUGUGAUCCGUGUUCUGGGCUUCCGUCAGAGCCGAGGCCUCUGCCGAUGCCCCCCAUCCCGUGCUCCGGGCCUUUGCCAUGGCUGCAACCGGCGUGCAGGGAUUCUGCUGCAGCCGUCAUCCCAUGGCCUGCCCUCCAGACCUCCAUUGCCACUAUCUUCGCCACCGCUUGGCCGGCGCUCAGGGCCUCCACUGCUACUGAUGUCAGCGCACGGGUUCGCCGCCCUACUGCUCGAUCUCGCGGAGCAACGAGGGCGCAAGAUCCAGUGGCCAUGGCCGGUUCUGUGGAGGAGGGCGCGAGAUCCAGCGGCCUUGGCCAGAUCCGUCAAGGAGGGCGUGUGUUCCGACGACCACGACCAGAUGUGACGAGGAGGAUGGACGAAAACACUUUAUCUCCCGUUCGCAAGUUGUGGCCAAGGGCGACAACGGUGGUGGCGCUGGUGGAUGAGAUGUUUGAGGUCAUCUAAUCCCGUGGUGCCGACGUCCAUGUGGUUUGUACCUUUGCUGAUCACGAGGGGCACUUUCCACUUGAUGUCUUUAGUUUGAGAUAAUUCAGAUUCUCAUCAAGGAGUGCAAUAAGACUGAAGGUCACCUCCAACAGCAGCCUUUCCUGAGUCCAAAAGAAGUGAGAGGAGGAUAGUGGAAAAGAACAAAUUUACGGAUGAGGAUGCUGGUAAUUCAAGAUUCUGUGGUGAUCCGGUUGGCUCAGCUUUAAAUAAUAAAAAUUCCAGUGGCGAAGAAGAAAGGGACAAUGAUUUCAAAUGCAGCUUUAAGACCAAACAACAGAUGGUUAGACUUCAUUGGCCUCACCUAUUUAAAGAAAGUCUCAGUGAUGCCCUCUCAAAUCUGCAUUGCCUCGCCUCCAUCACCGACCAUUCGUUGCCCGGUUGCCGCCGCCAAGCUCGAGAGGUGAGAGGGGACGGUAGGGCGACGGCUGUGCUGGCGGAUGGCAGCGGCGCGCGGGAUGACGCCUUCGCAUGUACCGCGGCACGCCCACCACCUGCUCGACGCUCGUCCUAGCACGCGCACGGGGACGUCGCAGAGUGCGCGGCAGGGUGGUUCCAGCCGCAACGCGGUGCUGUGCUGAUUCCUCACCAGAUGCGGCUGCGUGGCAGAGAGCAGCUAUCCCACAUGCGGUCUUCAUAUCAGGAAAACGGAAGAAAACAAGUGAUGCAGAAGUUCUGAGGCCAAGAGGAGACAUUUCUUACCGUCCCAUCUGCUGCUUCUCUCGCUUCAUCUUCGGUCGCCAUUGCUCCAGAUCAGAAUGUGAAAGAAGAAGAAGAAGGAGAAGAAAGAAGAAAGGAAAAAGGAAAAAGAAAGAUGGAGUGGCUUCUCUCUGAAAAAGGCUUGUGAGCUCUCGAAAAGCUGGUGGUCUUUAUACCGACCUUUCCUCUGCGCCUCUGUCAAUAUGUUUUCUAUUGCUGAGCAGCGGUUAGGAAGCAGUGACAGACUGACAGCGCCCUUGACAGGGAAUUAGCACUUGCCUAAGUGUAAUCUUGACUAAGCGGGAGAAGUUAUCCCGGAAAUAGCAGAUCAAUGAACAUGGAGAGUCAGCAUUAGGUGCCAAAAUGCCAACUGGUACGUGAGGCACAUGGUUGUGAUGGCUGGACCAUUGUGUCUGCGUUCUUGCUUUGAUGGACCCACAGAACCUUUUCUGUGUGACAUUAUUGGAUCGAUAAUUGAUUAGCGAGUACCAUUCUUGGAUCCUUCAUCUUUCAUUAUCUUUUCUUUUCUUUUCUAAGUGCGGCUCAAAAGAAAAGUUUAGUUUUUGGUGUGAAGAUACUAUUAUCUGCUAAUCUUUUUGCUUGGCUUCACAUAUCAGAUAACAUGAUUGGUCUUCAGAAAUCCAUUAUGGCGCAAAUUUUCUCCAACUGGUUAGGCUUCCCUUGUAUGGUUCAGUCACUUUCAACUAUUUAUGAUAUGGCUGCGUUCAUCUUACCUCAUAUUGCACUUGAGAGCGCAAGGGAACAACGGGGUUUGGCCAAUGUUUCUGCAGCCUGGAGGAAGUUUACCUGGAUCAAAUCAAGUGAAAAGCAGGACAGCAUGAAAGUAACUUGGCCUUGGCAUAAUUAUUGUGUUGUGUCCUGUUAAACUUGCAUUCAAGGUUGCUGUAUUUAUGGCUCAAAAAAGGUUGCUUUCACUUUAAAAAACAUGUUUUUUUUUUCGAAUUCAUCUACCAACAUAACUCCACAACCUUAGUUAGUCCUGAAUCUUAAAUGAACUGAUUGCUGCGGUUUAUGACCAAGAGCUCCUAUGAGCAUCUCCAAGGGCUUUGCAAACAAACUUUGCAUUGCCCUAUUUGCAAAAAAAGAUUAGAAAAUACCCCUCCAAUGGUUUUGUAAAUAAGAUUUGCAAUUUGAUUAACUUUGUAAAUAGAGGUUGAGGCUUUGCAUAUAUGCAAACCUUCCCACCACUUUGCAUCUACAAUUUCGGCCUUCCACGUCGGACUCCGUCCCCCCGCCCCCCCACCCGCGCGAUUACUCUGCGCCCGUCCGCCCUCCCUACCGCGCGCGUCCACGAACGACGACGUACGCGGCCACGGCACGGGAACGGAGGUGGACCUUCCCUCGCGGGGACCUUCCCUUGGAGGAGGACGGAGGUGGACGGAGCCGAACUGACGCGAACGACGAACGCGGCCUGGGCUGGGCGGCGACUGGCACGCACGACGUACGUCAAAAUGGCGCGAAGGGGAAAAAACGCACGGGUGCAAUCGGUGAAAAAAAAUUCAGAGAUGGGGUCCACACUUUGGAUUUGCAAGUCUAAAUGCAAAGUCCCUUGGAGUUGGACUAUUUUUAGACUUUGCAAAUGAGUUUGGGACUUUGCAAACAACACCAAAUGCAAAAUCCAUUUGCAAAGUCCCUUGGAGAUGCUCUAACCCAGAUCACUUUUGUUUUGUUCAGCCCAUUGUUCUGGCAUUCAGAGCUAUGGCGCCAAGUUGCUCCCUGUGGACUGUGGACUGAUCUCUGAAGAUCACUGAAGCACAAGGACUUGAGCCCGUUCGCUUGUCUUAUCUCUUACGAUAAAUCAGCAAAUAGUAUUUUCAUCAGACCAGCGAACAGGCUGCUAGGGACGGUGGCCCGCAGCAAAAGAGCUCCACAUGUUGAACCGCCCUGGACAAGGAAAAUACCAAGUUGGCCAGCCCAAGUGCCACGCUGGAUCCACCUCACGCAGUCCAAGUUCUCGCUACCAGCCAUCCAUCACCUGCUACUGAUUAUCAAAACUUGAGGCAGGUAAUGCUAAGCUGCUUGUGCUAUUAUUAUCCUAGCAUAUCGCUGCGCCGAAAGAAAGGAUGUCAUGGCGCCAUUGGAGGAUGACAUGCCUGCUUUGCAAAUCCUCAUCGGCAAAGUUGACAGCCGCCCUGGUGCCACUGUCAAGCCUGACUCAGCAUGGAAAGGAUGAAAGUAAUUCAGAAAGAAAAACGAAAACAGAGGAGGACAUCUCACUCUCACUUCUAAAAAGCAGAGGAGGGGGUGCCCAGUUAUCUGUGGAUGAAGGCAACAGCAGCGGCGAAUAUGAGGUGGCGAUCGGAAACGAACACCAAAAUCGGCACCGUCCAUGCUAAAGCCGUAUUGUCAUUUUAUGCCGGCCACCAAAGUCAUAACCACCUACAGAUUUCUGAAUUGAUUUCGUCACCCGAUGUAUACAUGGGCUGUCAAUUCGAGCAAUUUCUGCCAGCCCGGGAAAUAUUUGAGGACCAUGUGUGCCGGACAAACAAAAAGGAGAGAGGUGUACUAAAGCCAUACAUCACUAAAGUGUAGUCUAGUAUAUUUGAGAUGAGGAGAUCGAGCAUCUUCGACCAUUGCCAGCUCCAUCGUGGAUGCUGGAUGGAUGCGAUACAGCGACAUUUUUGUAUCCAG